UGGGGAAUAUUGGACAAUGGGGGCAACCCUGAUCCAGCAAUGCCGCGUGUGUGAAGAAGGUCUUCGGAUUGUAAAGCACUUUCGACGGGGACGAUGAUGACGGUACCCGUAGAAGAAGCCCCGGCUAACUUCGUGCCAGCAGCCGCGGUAAUACGAAGGGGGCUAGCGUUGCUCGGAAUGACUGGGCGUAAAGGGCGUGUAGGCGGUUUACACAGUCAGAUGUGAAAUCCCCGGGCUUAACCUGGGAGCUGCAUUUGAUACGUGUAGACUAGAGUGUGAGAGAGGGGUUU
rnacentral:rRNA from 1 species